rnacentral:rRNA from 1 species
UACGUAGGUGGCGAGCGUUGUCCGGAUUUACUGGGCGUAAAGAGCGCGCAGGCGGUCGUUCAAGUCGCGUGUGAAAGCCCCCGGCUCAACUGGGGAGGGUCACGCGAUACUGAUCGACUCGAAGGCAGGAGAGGGAAGUGGAAUUCCCGGUGUAGUGGUGAAAUGCGUAGAUAUCGAGAGGAACACCUGCGGCGAAGGCGGGUAGCUGGGCCGACACUGACGCUGAGGCGCGAAAGCCAGGGGAGCGAACGGG